UACGUAGGGUGCAAGCGUUAUCCGGAUUUACUGGGCGUAAAGCGUUUCGUAGGCGGAUGGGUAAGUCAGCAGUGAAAGACCGGGGCCUAACUCCGGAAUUGCUGUUGAAACUGCUCGUCUAGAGUAUCAAAGGGGAGGCUGGAACUGUCGGUGUAGCAGUGAAAUGCGUUGAGAUCGACAGGAACACCAAGGGCGAAGGCAGGCCUCUGGGUGAUUACUGACGCUGAUGAACGACAGCUAGGGGAGCGAAAGGG
rnacentral:misc_RNA from 1 species